rnacentral:rRNA from 1 species
CGAACGCUGGCGGCAUGGAUUAGGCAUGCAAGUCGAACGGGAGCAGCAAUGCUCCAGUGGCGCAAGGGUGAGGAACACGUGAACAACCUGCCUUCGAGUUGGGGAUAGCUUCUGGAAACGGGAGAUAAUACCGAAUAACAUCACCGGACCGCAUGGUCUGAUGAUCAAAGCAGCAAUGCGCUUGAAGAGGGGUUCGCGUCCCAUUAGCUAGUUGGUGAGGUAACGGCCACCAAGGCGAUGAUGGGUAGCUGGUCUGAGAGGACGAUCAGCCACAUUGGGACUGAGAUACUGCCCAGACUCCUACGGGAGGCUGCAGUCGAGAAUUUUGGGCAAUGGACGAAAGUCUGAACCCCCAGCAAUGCCGCGUGCGGGAUGAAGGUCUUCGGAUUGUAAACCGCUGUCAAGAGGGACGAAACAUGACGGUACCUCUGGAGGAAGCCACGGCUAACUACGUGCCAGCCGCCGC